rnacentral:rRNA from 1 species
GGUGAACGCUGGCGGCGUGCCUAACACAUGCAAGUCGAGCGGUGCAGUUUGAAGCUUCGGUGGAAAGCUGCAUAGCGGCGGACGGGUGAGGAAAACGUAGGAACGUGCCCCUUGGAGUUGGAUAGCCACGGGAAACUGUGGGUAAACCGACAUAGACUCGAGAGAGUAAAGGCCGAAAGGCGCCAAGGGAGCGGCCUGCGGCCCAUCAGGUAGUUGGUAGUGUAAAGGACUACCAAGCCGACGACGGGUAGCCGGUCUGAGAGGAUGGCCGGCCACAAGGGCACUGAGAGACAGGCCCUACUCCUACGGGAGGCAGCAGUGGGGGAUUUUGGACAAUGGGCGAAAGCCUGAUCCAGCGACGCCGCGUGGAGGACGAAGCCCUUCGGGGUGUAAACUCCUUUUCUCAGGGAAAAAGGAUGAUGGUACCUGAGGAAUAAGCCCCGGCUAACUACGUGCCAGCAGCGCGGUAAAAGUACUCUAU